GGGGUCUGUUGUACAGUGCUAAGAGUUCCUGUUUCUUUGGUACAGUGCUGUCAAGCAAGAAAAAGGUUGUUGUUUUUUUUUAAAGAAAAAAGUAGGAUGAUUCUAACAUUAUAGUAGAUGAACAUUCAGACACACGCAACAAGGGAGCCAAUUUUUCGUCAUUAUGAAUGCAUAUUGGGACAGAAUCAGGCAGUGUUCAUGCAGCUGUGUUUUUGUCACUGUAAGUAAACAAGCUGGUGGGAUCAUACAUGUGGAGGAACCACUUUAAAACUCAAAUAUAGCGUGGUGGACUGGUCUACAAGGCAGCUCCUUCCUUCAGUGAAUGGUGUGCCAUGGCAGAUAAAUGGGAAGCACAAAAAUGGGGCCAGUGUCAAGCUCUGACAAUUAAUCUUCGCAUCUUCUCUAAGACCACAAAAUACCAUUUGCCUGCGUAGCUGGAAAGUCAUGAAUACACCCAGAGAAGAGGCAAAAGUGAGUCACCCAACAUUCUCUGCCAGAGGGGUCUUCAGUGGCCAGAGAUGGAAGUUGAAGAGAACAGGUUAAUGAAGCUAAAGGGAAGGAGGGAAGGAUUGGUCGUUCAAUCAAAUUGCAACAUAUGGAAAAUCCAACAUUUCAGUGAAUUCUAGGAG
ensembl:lncRNA